rnacentral:rRNA from 1 species
UACGUAGGGAGCAAGCGUUGUCCGGAAUCAUUGGGCGUAAAGCGCGCGUAGGUGGCUUCGUAAGUCCGUUGUGAAAGUCAAAGGCUCAACCUUUGAAAGCCGAUGGAUACUGUGAAGCUAGAGUACGGAAGAGGCGAGUGGAAUUCCUGGUGUAGCGGUGGAAUGCGCAGAUAUCGGGAGGAACACCAAUGGCGAAGGCAGCUCGCUGGGACGGUACUGACGCUGAGACGCGAAAGCGUGGGGAGCAAACAGG